UUACAGGUUCUACCAUUAGGCUUGCGAGAACAGUAGUGAACUAAACUUCCCAGUGAGAGGUCUUCACACCAGGGAAGUGUGACUUUCCUGCCGCAGCCCUGCCUCGUCACUCAUUAGGACGCCGCAGGUUGUCAGCACCUUCUUCCUCUUCGGCGCGCACACGGGUGUGCACGUUCGCGCGCUCGCGCGCGCGCCCCGAGCCCCAACCCUGAAACUAAAUUAAGAAGCACAUGAUUAAGAGACAAGCGUCUACGGGGCCUGUCAUUUCAGCAUCCUUCCAUCAUAACAUUGUGGCACGGGGAAAUUUGCUUGAAAACCUUUGGAAAAAAAAAUCGAUGGAGGAGCGUGCAUAGCGAGCGAGCGAGCGAGCGAGCGAUUGCGUUUAGAGUCGGAGAACUGCUUGCUCCGGAUUGUCUUCUGAAGAGGAGAGAGAAGAGAGGUUGGCAAGAUCCCAGGGGCUCCCAGAGACUUCUUGGAAACUCCUGUACAGAUCUCUGGGUGAUCUUCAAGCAGGCCUUCCACUUCGUUUGUGGUCUGUGUUUCUCCGCAUCCCCGCCAGUUCUUAAAGGGUUAACUGCUCCGGCGCAAAAUCGGAGGGGCCUCUGGCUCUCUAUUUUGGAAGAAGACUGGAAAAGAGGGGCAGGGGUCCACCCGCCUUCGAGACCUUUUACGAUCCCAGCGGGUUGACUCGGAACAUAUUUCUAUUCACACCAUGUGCGACAGAAGGUCUCCCUUAUGUGCCUGGAGUGUUUUACGCCGGUAAAUGGAAAUCACAAAAGAGAAAGUUGAACACCCUCUAUGGGAAGAAGCAGCUAUCAGAAGGCAAUAGAGCUAAGAAAAAGGAGAAAUCUCCUGGUUUAAAAGAAAUGAAAAGUAAAGAAGGCAAGAAGAAAGGAAGGAAUGAAAAUGAAAAAGAAAACGUUUAAACCUACAAUUCUGUGUAAAUACUUACAGUAUUUGGCCCCUCUAAAUAAAGCAGAACUUAUUUCGAAGUAAAUAUGAGUGGAAAGUUCAAAACCGUCUCUAACCAAGCCAGAAAAGAAGUUUUGAAAGAUUUCUAUUAAAUCUCGGGGUUUAAAACGUGGAGCUAUUAGACUAUAAUACUGUAGUAGUUGUUGCUGUUUGCGUGAUGAUGAUGUAAUCGCGCCCAUAAUUUUUUUGCCUUGAUUCUUAGUUUUUAGGCUUGACCCUUUCGUCCACCGCCCAAGCACCAGAAAUACUGAGAAAUAAUAAUAAGUAUUACUUUAUUUGACUAACCAAAAAGACAUAAAAAGUUGUACAGAUUUUUUGCCAUGUUUGUUAGUCUAAUAAAAGUAUUGUUCCGGUAUGUAUUUUGGAGCGCAUUUUGUGACCAACACGGCUACCUUUACUGUUAUUAAUAAAAAUUGUCAGA